GACGAACGCUGGCGGCGUGCUUAACACAUGCAAGUCGAACGGAAAGGCCCUGCUUUUGUGGGGUGCUCGAGUGGCGAACGGGUGAGUAACACGUGAGUAACCUGCCCUUGACUUUGGGAUAACUUCAGGAAACUGGGGCUAAUACCGGAUAGGAGCUCCUGCUGCAUGGUGGGGGUUGGAAAGUUUCGGCGGUUGGGGAUGGACUCGCGGCUUAUCAGCUUGUUGGUGGGGUAGUGGCUUACCAAGGCUUUGACGGGUAGCCGGCCUGCGAGGGUGACCGGCCACAUUGGGACUGAGAUACGGCCCAGACUCCUACGGGAGGCAGCAGUGGGGAAUAUUGCACAAUGGGCGGAAGCCUGAUGCAGCAACGCCGCGUGCAGGAUGACGGCCUUCGGGUUGUAAACCGCUUUCGCCUGUGACGAAGCGUGAGUGACGGUAAUGGGUAAAGAAGCACCGGCUAACUACGUG
rnacentral:rRNA from 1 species